rnacentral:rRNA from 1 species
UCUAGUGGCAAUGGCGGAGAGGACACACCCGUUCCCAUCCCGAACACGGAAGUUAAGCUCUCCAGCGCCGAUGGUACUUGGGCACGAGCCCCGGGAGAGUAGGUCGUCGCUAGGC